GCCCGGAUGGUCUAGAGGUAUGAUUCUCGCUUAGGGUUCCAAACUUCCUAAGUUCACUACUUGUGAUGGUAUGCGAGAGGUCCCAGGUUCGAUCCCUGGUUCGGGCC